GAUGAACGCUGGCGGCGUGCCUAAUACAUGCAAGUCGAGCGAACGGACGAGAAGCUUGCUUUUCUGAUGUUAGCGGCGGACGGGUGAGUAACACGUGGAUAACCUACCUAUAGGACUGGGAUAACUUCGGGAAACCGGAGCUAAUACCGGAUAAUAUUUUGAACCGCAUGGUUCAUAAGUGAAAGACGGUCUUGCUGUCACUUAUAGAUGGAUCCGCGCUGCAUUAGCUAGUUGGUAAGGUAACGGCUUACCAAGGCAACGAUGCAUAGCCGACCUGAGAGGGUGAUCGGCCACACUGGAACUGAGACACGGUCCGGACUCCUACGGGAGGCAGCAGAGGGGAAUCUUCCGCAAUGGGCGAAAGCCUGACGGAGCAACGCCGCGUGAGUGAUGAAGGUCUUCGGAUCGUAAAACUCUGUUAUUGGGGAAGAACAUAUGUGUAAGUAACUGUGCACAUCUUGACGGUACCUAAUCAGAAAGCCACGGCUAACUACGUG
rnacentral:rRNA from 1 species